AGUGAACGCUGGCGGUAGGCCUAACACAUACAAGUCGAACGGCAGCACAGUAAGAGCUUGCUCUUACGGGUGGCGAGUGGCGGACGGGUGAGGAAUACAUCGGAAUCUACUUUUUCGUGGGGGAUAACGUAGGGAAACUUACGCUAAUACCGCAUACGACCUACGGGUGAAAGCAGGGGAUCUUCGGACCUUGCGCGAUUGAAUGAGCCGAUGUCGGAUUAGCUAGUUGGCGGGGUAAAGGCCCACCAAGGCGUCGAUCCGUAGCUGGUCUGAGAGGAUGAUCAGCCACACUGGAACUGAGACACGGUCCAGACUCCUACGGGAGGCAGCAGUGGGGAAUAUUGGACAAUGGGCGCAAGCCUGAUCCAGCCAUACCGCGUGGGUGAAGAAGGCCUUCGGGUUGUAAAGCCCUUUUGUUGGGAAAGAAAAGCAGCAGGUUAAUACCCCGCUGUUCUGACGGUACCCAAAGAAUAAGCACCGGCUAACUUCGUG
rnacentral:rRNA from 1 species